CAACGCUAAUUGAUGAUUUUAAUGGUAUUACAGUCCUUGUGACAAUCUCAAGCAACACAAAACGAAAGUGAUAAAUUGAUGAUUUGAAUGGUAGUACAGUCCCUGUGACAAUCUAAAUGACACGACGAGAGUGAUAAAAAAAAACCCAACAUAGAAAUUGUUGCAAACUAUCCAAAAUGAAUCAUUUAUAAGCUUUCAGUGGUUUUCAUAGGUAAUUGCUAGCUCAUGGUUGCAUUUCGUCCCAAGAGUGAAACCUGUAGGACUAACCACCAUAACAUUUUAAUAAAAAUGAAAUAUUUUUGGGAUAAAAGUAAAGGGUGAAGGAAUCUAGCAUUAGCCACCAUAACAUUUAAUAUCAAUAGAAAUUGCAAAAGGAGUGCAAACACAAAUUACAGGCCAAUAGUAAAACGAUUAAUUUGGUAACUCUUGGGUAAAUGAAAAGGAAUGCUACAUUUCUCCUCUCGAUACAAAAGGCCUACGUGAGUACAUUGGGUACUCAGUACUUGGGAGGUGGAUGUUGGGUAGGAAGUAAACCAAAGCGCUUCUUCAGGAGCACUCUUUGCCUCGAGUAUUUGUCAUCAGGUGAGAAGCGAGCUGCAAUUGGGAAAGAGAGACAUUAGAAGGAUGUGGUGAAUAAUCUUUGUAGACCAUGAUUACUAGUUUAACAAAGCAGUAACUCAGAAAACAAGAAGAGCAUCAUUUCCCAUUAUCACAACGCCU
rnacentral:lncRNA from 1 species